CAGCCCGGGCCGCGCCCGCCCCGCCUCUCAGCCCCGGCCCCGGAGCCCGGUCCGCGAGCGGCGGCGGCGGCCGGAGGGACGAUGAGCAGCGCGGCGCGGGCGGGCCCGGCCCGGCUCGCGGCGCUGGCCCUGCUGACCUGCAGCCUGUGGCUGACGCGAGCGGACAACGCGAGCCAGGAGUACUACACGGCGCUCAUCAACGUGACGGUGCAGGAGCCCGGCCGCGGCACUCCGCUCACGUUCCGCAUCGACCGCGGGCGCUACGGGCUCGACUCACCCAAGGCCGAGGUCCGCGGCCAGGUGCUGGCACCACUGCCCAUCCACGGAGUUGCUGAUCAUCUGGGCUGUGAUCCUCAAACACGGUUCUUUGUCCCUCCUAAUAUCAAACAGUGGAUCGCCUUGCUACAAAGAGGAAAUUGCACCUUUAAAGAGAAAAUAUCACGGGCUGCUUUUCACAAUGCAGUUGCUGUAGUCAUCUACAAUAAUAAAUCCAAAGAGGAGCCGGUCACCAUGACUCAUCCAGGCACGGGAGAUAUUAUUGCUGUCAUGAUAACAGAAUUGAGGGGUAAGGAUAUUUUGAGUUAUCUGGAGAAAAACAUCUCUGUACAAAUGACAAUAGCUGUUGGAACUCGAAUGCCGCCAAAGAACUUCAGCCGUGGCUCCCUAGUCUUCGUGUCAAUAUCCUUUAUUGUUUUGAUGAUUAUUUCUUCAGCGUGGCUCAUAUUCUACUUCAUUCAGAAGAUCAGGUACACAAAUGCUCGCGACAGGAACCAGCGUCGUCUUGGAGAUGCAGCCAAGAAAGCCAUCAGUAAAUUGACAACUAGAACGGUGAAAAAGGGCGAUAAGGAAACAGACCCAGACUUCGAUCACUGUGCAGUCUGCAUAGAAAGCUAUAAGCAGAAUGAUGUUGUUCGGGUUCUCCCCUGCAAGCAUGUUUUCCACAAAUCCUGUGUGGAUCCCUGGCUCAGUGAACACUGUACCUGUCCUAUGUGCAAACUUAAUAUUUUGAAAGCCCUAGGAAUUGUGCCAAAUCUGCCAUGUACUGAUAAUGUAGCGUUUGAUAUGGAAAGGCUUACCAGAACCCAAGCAGUUAACCGAAGAGCAGCCCUUGGUGACCUUGCCAGUGACAGUUCCCUUGGCCUUGAGCCACUGAGAAGUUCGGGGAUAUCGCCUCUUCCUCAAGAUGGGGAGCUCACUCCUCGAACGGGUGAAAUCAACAUUGCAGUAACAAGUGGUCACGUCUUUCACCGGAACUCCCUGUCGCCUCGUAGCCUGGUGUAUGAAAGUGAAUUCUCCACAAUCGAACCUUCUUUGGACAUUCCUCUUCCCAUAGGGAGUCCUUCAAGAGAAGCUCCAUCUUCCUUUCUCCCUGUGAGACUCCGACCUCCUGUCAUCCUUCAGAGCUGGGAGGACACAGACCAUGGGGCCCAGAGUCUGCCGUCACAGGAUCAGACAGUCAUCUGCUUUGUCGUUUUCCUGCAUCUGUGAUGAGCAUGACAUAAGAUGACAAGUAUUUACAUAGGCACUGGACAUGGGAGACAUUUGUCCCUGCUGUCUGUGGUCUCUAUGGGGAGGUGGCACCAAGAACCUAGCACGAUGAUUGCAGGGUAUCAAUAAGGUUAACAGUCAUCAACACCAAAAUAGUUUUAAAUGUUUUAUUGGGAAGUGCAAACCAACAUCCUCCUAUUAAAUACCAAAUGGGGGCUCCUCCUUCUCCAUCCUGAUUGUCCAAUCCAGUGCUAUCUUGCCAGCCUCAGCACCUACAUGAAGAAACACUGGAGCGCUGACAACCAGACUUGCAGAGGAGGAUGCUGUGGCCAGCAUGGUUACACUGGGAACAUGUGUGCUCUUCCCACACAUCCAGAAUGACAUCAAGUUAACAUACGAGGAACUUGUAGGACCAGGAUCAGCAAAACACCUCCUUUCUGCAGAAGUGUGUGCCACAGUCACAGCCUGCUUCUCAUCAGAGCUGGGAAGGCGUCCAGACCCUUGUUAGGAGAAUGCAGCACCAGUGUCUAGCCCUGUGUGUGACAACACAACAGGCUCCCCCCGCCCCACGACACUUUUAUUGGCUCUGUGGGUCACAAGUUUGAGGCGCACACAUUUCAUCUCCACACGUGUGGCUCCUUCUCUGUCACAGCAUCUUGUGACAUCCCUCAAGAUCCUAAGAUCCCUCAGGUGCCCCUGUGCCUGAAGCAGACCCCAGAGCCUGAGUGCUGACAGCCUGUGAGAACGUAGUGGCAGGCUGAGCCCUGAGCUGCACUUAGCUUGAGUACCCGAGGCUGGACCAGGACUAAUGUCUAAGGUCUAACCUGCUUUCACUUUUACUGCUUACCAAGGGCUUUUGUCUUUCUUUUUUAUAGUCUUUGUACUAUAAAAAAUAUUUUUGAUAAAGUUUCAAUAGAUUAUCGUUCUGAAAGACAGGUUCUCAGUGAGAGCAUUUCAACAGGAGACUAGACUGCCAGGGUCCACAGGCUCAAGUGCAAGGGUUUAGUGUGGCGGACCAGAUGGACUCUGUAAUUGCCAUGUUGUCUGAAGCCUGGCCUUAUCUUAUCUCAGAUUCCGGCAAAUCAUUUUCUUCAGGUCUCAUCUGUCUUCUAAAGGUAGAUGAGUUCCACUCUAGACAGUUUCUUUACUAAAAAAAAAGAAAUGGAAUUGUUUGGGGAGAAAAAUUAAAUUGAGUCCUCUAAAAUCUACUGAGACAGUAUUUGAAUCCCUGGAAAAACUGGGGCACGUGGUCCUUGUAGAACAGCCAAGGAAGCAGUCCCUGUGAAUGGAUUCACUCAGAGUAGCGCUCCAGAGACCAGGUUGACCCCCUUUUCCUGAAAAUUGGGGCCACCUUCAACUCAGAUCCAGAUUCCUGCCUUUGGAUGGCCAUUGGCUUCUUUGUUGAGGGCACGUGCUUUGGGAGUACAGAGGAUAACAGCUUCCUACCAGGAGCUAUGAUGAGGGGACAUCCCAUGAAGCCACCAGGAUACCCAGGUGGAGCUGGGUGCACAACCAUUACUGGCAUAUGCCAUAGAGCACACGCCUAUCGGGAUCUACAGCCACGGGCAGCAUUGGCUGCGAACUGGGCUGCAGCAGCUUGAAUCCAGAGGUUUAAGCUUUUGAGAUACUUAGCUUCCUUGAGGAGGGGCCACUCUGGUCCUGUUACUUCACAGAGAAAGGAGAGCUGACCGGCCUGGAUAUCCAGGUAUCAAUUCCCGAGAGCAUCUCCAGAAGUAAUGAGCAUGUCCAUCCAGGGUCCCGCCUUUGCUCCCCUCUUAGGAAAACAGGCUCUACUAUCAACACUUCAAAACUCGCAAGGCCCACUAAGCCUUGUUUUUGAAUCAACCUCCAUCUCCUGGCUCCUCUGGUUGUUCCCUCAUCAGACACAACCCUGAAAGCCAAUCCAUCAUGAAGCUGAGCCCCUGCUGCUCAUCUGCUCUGAGGCAUGACAGCCUGGGAUGCCAAAAUCCACGGUCAGAAAGGCAUUAACCCACAGGCUUGCUGAACCUCACUAACCGCAUGUCUGCGGGCUUUGUGAGCCUUCCAGGUCCUAGUACUCUCACCUCCAUGUACCCCCUCAUCUAUGCACUAAUUGACACCACACUAAGGGAAAGAAAGCCACUGCUCCUCUGCUGUUCACCUUCGCUCUAGGAGUUCUCUUCACGCUGCAAGAGAACAAGGCUGGGAUUUCACAUCAGGAGUCUUCCUGACACGGGGUCACUGCUCAUAAAUGUCAAGAAAGAAAACUGCUGAAUUUAAAACUGGCACUUAGAAGGGAAAGGCAAGACCAUGAGAGCUGUGACCCCAGCAGUCUGUAGUGACCCCAGAGGAAGAGAGCUGUCAGCCUCAGCUGCUGAAAGGGUGACAUUUCUACAUUACAGAUACGCCCUGUGGAAGCUGCUCCUCCCGUGAUUAUCCUCCUGCAGUCCUCCUAGGCUCAAUACACUUUUCUCCCUGCUUUCUUCACUCUGACUCGGGGAAGGGAGAAGAAACACAUGGCAAAGGGCAGAGUAGCCUUUGAACUCUGUGCAACCCAAGCAUUGAGAUUCCAGGAGGAUCCAUGGCCUCCAGAGCAACCUGGGCUUCUGCCCUGGGAUCCAUCAGAUUCCUCCUGUUGACUCUUUAAGACAGGCUUGAGGAGGCCAGGACCCCAUUCCACAGCCUAAAAGUAUUAAAUCUUUCUCAGAAGCAUGGGUGAUAGCUGGAGCUGACGGCGGAGCCCUCACUUAGCCAUUACGCACCUUCACACAUAUUCCCCUCCGGAGGAAAGGCUGAGUUCCAAGCAUCAUCUCACAUCUCCUGUAGUGACCCUCCAUCUCCUCACCUUGCAGGAUCCCCAAAACAUUUGAUGCUGAUGUAUAUCAUUUCUCUCCAGCCAUUUUUCUCCAUCUCAACUCCAUUUGCUGAGCAGGUACAUGUACCAGGAAGGAACCUGUUGGCCACCCACAAGCCCACAGCUGCCAUCUUAGACCCUCCUCCCUGUCAGCAACCCUCGCCUGAUUCUACAGACUGGCGACAGCUAACAUUGUACUGAGCUACAAAACCCAACAGAAAGUGGAUUCUAACCUGCUUUUGGAAUUAUCCUUCAUCCACAACUAAGCCUAAAUGUAUUUGCAUUAUGAUAUUAAAAGACUUUUCUAAUGACUGGAAGGUACUAAACCAAGAUAUUUGUUCUUUAAAAAAAAAAAAAAAUGGGAGGGUCUGGUAAAAUGUGACAUCCCAAGUCGUAUUUUUGUCUUCAGAUAAGCAAGCUGCACCUGCCAACUGCCAUCCGUGCUUUAUGCCUCAAUCACUAGAUUUGGCCUGGUUCUACACCUAAACCUUUUAGGGGCAGCCAUGACACAUGCCACCUCGCUGGCAGCCCUGGCUGGCUUGCCGAGCCAGCUAGAAUACAGCUCUCUUGGCCGGUGCUCGGGAUGCAAUCUGGUAUCUUCAGCCUAGCAUGGGAAGUAAGAUGGACUCUUGAGUGGCCAUACCUCACCCAAGAAAACUGCACCAGUGUUGUUUACAGGGACAGGAAAGAGUCCAAGCUGGGAGGAGACGUGGGCGUGAGGUGGAGAAAGCCAUUGCCUCCUAGACAUGCUGCUACAGUAAAAGGAGAGAAAUCAGUUUAAAUUCUAGGCCCCAUGUGUCACAGUUGUUUUUGACCCUCAGUAGCUUUUACAAACACUCGUAGAAAACACUGAAGUCACCCCUUUCAUAUCUGGAUUAUUCAAAGAGCCCCACUCACUCCAGGUUCCUGCUGACUAUGCACAACAUUUCAGUGAACGGCAUACAAAACUAUUUUUCUAACCUAAGCACAGGUAACUUGGGGUGAGAAAGCUCAGAACAUGCCUUAGGCAGAUGGCAAGGUGGGGCACCUGGAAGGGUGAAAUGGAAGCUAUGCACUUGACUUUCUCUCACCAGUGGAUGGUUUGUGCCAGAAGGAACACACACACCAAGCAUUAACUUAAUGUGCAACUUCACAGUAGGGGUUACCCUGUCAAGAAUACAGACAUCUACAAGUUCAGUGUGAGCCAAUUUCUUGACAAUCAAAUGUGUCAACCCCUAGAAAUGGGCAGCACAACUCCUAGGUCCACAUGGUUGAUAUAAGUAUUAUUAAGUAGUGAAAUUGUCUGGCAUGUACCUCUAUGCCAAUAGUGUACACCUGUAUGUGUGGAAUUUGCUAAUAUAACCGUUUCAAUAAAACUCUAUUGAAAAAGC